rnacentral:rRNA from 1 species
GGUCAAGCGAACAAGUGCAUGUGGUGGAUGCCUUGGCGAUCACAGGCGAUGAAGGACGCGGUAGCCUGCGAAAAGCGGAGGGGAGCUGGCAAACGAGCUUUGAUCCUCCGAUAUCCGAAUGGGGAAACCCGGCCCGUAUGGGUCAUCCGUAACUGAAUACAUAGGUUACGUGAAGCGAACGCGGUGAACUGAAACAUCUAAGUAACCGCAGGAAAAGAAAUCAACCGAGAUUCCCAGAGUAGUGGCGAGCGAAAUGGGACCAGCCUGUACUCUUUAUCUUCAUUGUUAGUCGAAGGCUCUGGAAAGUGCCGCCAUAGCAGGUGAUAGCCCUGUAGACGAAAACAGCGGGGAAGAACUAGGUGUACGGAAAGUAGGGCGGGACACGUGAAAUCCUGUCUGAAGAUGGGGGGACCAUCCUCCAAGGCUAAAUACUCGUGAUCGACCGAUAGUGAACCAGUACCGUGAGGGAAAGGCGAAAAGAACCCCGGGAGGGGAGUGAAACAGAUCCUGAAACCGCAUGCAUACAAACAGUCGGAGCCUCUGCGAAGGGGUGACGGCGUACCUUUUGUAUAAUGGGUCAGCGACUUACAUUCAGUGGCAAGCUUAACCGAUUAGGGCAGGCGUAGCGAAAGCGAGUCCGAACAGGGCGAUUCAGUCGCUGGGUGUAGACCCGAAACCAGGUGAUCUAUCCAUGGCCAGGAUGAAGGUGCGGUAACACGUACUGGAGGUCCGAACCCACUAACGUUGAAAAGUUAGGGGAUGAGCUGUGGAUAGGGGUGAAAGGCUAAACAAACCUGGAAAUAGCUGGUUCUCUCCGAAAACUAUUUAGGUAGUGCCUCGUGUAUCACCUUCGGGGGUAGAGCACUGUCAUGGUUGUGGGGUCCAUUGCGGAUUACUACGCCAUAGCAAACUCCGAAUACCGAAGAGUGCAAUCACGGGAGACAGACAUCGGGUGCUAACGUCCGGUGUCAAGAGGGAAACAACCCAGACCGCCAGCUAAGGUCCCCAAAUAUUGCUAAGUGGGAAACGAAGUGGGAAGGCUAAAACAGUCAGGAGGUUGGCUUAGAAGCAGCCAUCCUUUAAAGAAAGCGUAAUAGCUCACUGAUCGAGUCGUCCUGCGCGGAAGAUGUAACGGGGCUAAGCAAUAUACCGAAGCUGCGGAUGCACAUUUAUGUGCAUGGUAGGAGAGCGUUCCGUAAGCCUGCGAAGGUGCAUUGAAAAGUGUGCUGGAGGUAUCGGAAGUGCGAAUGCUGACAUGAGUAGCGAUAAAGGGGGUGAAAGGCCCCCUCGCCGUAAGCCCAAGGUUUCCUACGCAACGUUCAUCGGCGUAGGGUGAGUCGGCCCCUAAGGCGAGGCAGAAAUGCGUAGCUGAUGGGAAGCAGGUUAAUAUUCCUGCACCAUUGUUAAAUGCGAUGGGGGGACGGAUCGCGGAAGGUUGUCCGGGUGUUGGAAGUCCCGGUCCUUGCAUUGGAGAAGGCGCUCAGGCAAAUCCGGGCGCGGAAUUCAAGGGUGCGAGGCCAGUCGCUUAGGCGACGAAGCAAUCGGAAGUGGUUCCAAGAAAAGCCUCUAAGCUUCAGUUUAACAGGACCGUACCGCAAACCGACACAGGUGGGCGAGAUGAGUAUUCUAAGGCGCUUGAGAGAACUCGGGAGAAGGAACUCGGCAAAUUGGUACCGUAACUUCGGGAUAAGGUACGCCCCUGUAGCUUGAUGCCCCUGCGGGCAGAGGGUGAAGGGGUUGCAAUAAACUGGUGGCUGCGACUGUUUAAUAAAAACACAGCACUCUGCAAACACGAAAGUGGACGUAUAGGGUGUGACGCCUGCCCGGUGCCGGAAGAUUAAAUGAUGGGGUGCAAGCUCUUGAUUGAAGUCCCGGUAAACGGCGGCCGUAACUAUAACGGUCCUAAGGUAGCGAAAUUCCUUGUCGGGUAAGUUCCGACCUGCACGAAUGGCGUAACGAUGGCCACACUGUCUCCUCCCGAGACUCAGCGAAGUUGAAGUGUUUGUGAUGAUGCAAUCUCCCCGCGGCUAGACGGAAAGACCCCAUGAACCUUUACUGUAGCUUUGCAUUGGACUUUGAACCGAUCUGUGUAGGAUAGGUGGGAGGCUAUGAAGCGUGGACGCCAGUCUGCGUGGAGCCGUCCUUGAAAUACCACCCUGGUUUGUUUGAGGUUCUAACCUUGGCCCGUGAUCCGGGUCGGGGACAGUGCAUGGUAGGCAGUUUGACUGGGGCGGUCUCCUCCCAAAGUGUAACGGAGGAGUACGAAGGUACGCUAGGUACGGUCGGAAAUCGUGCUGAUAGUGCAAUGGCAUAAGCGUGCUUAACUGCGAGACCGACAAGUCGAGCAGGUGCGAAAGCAGGUCAUAGUGAUCCGGUGGUUCUGUAUGGAAGGGCCAUCGCUCAACGGAUAAAAGGUACUCUGGGGAUAACAGGCUGAUACCGCCCAAGAGUUCAUAUCGACGGCGGUGUUUGGCACCUCGAUGUCGGCUCAUCUCAUCCUGGGGCUGUAGCCGGUCCCAAGGGUAUGGCUGUUCGCCAUUUAAAGAGGUACGUGAGCUGGGUUUAAAACGUCGUGAGACAGUUUGGUCCCUAUCUGCCGUGGGCGCUGGAUAUUUGAAGGGGGCUGCUCCUAGUACGAGAGGACCGGAGUGGACGAACCUCUGGUGUACCGGUUGUCACGCCAGUGGCAUCGCCGGGUAGCUAUGUUCGGAAGAGAUAACCGCUGAAAGCAUCUAAGCGGGAAACUCGCCUUAAGAUGAGAUAUCCCCGGGGCUUCGAGCCCCUUGAAGGGUCGUUCAAGACCAGGACGUUGAUAGGUCAGGUGUGGAAGCGCAGUAAUGCGUUAAGCUAACUGAUACUAAUUGCCCGUAAGGCUUGAUCCU